UACAGAGGUCCCAAGCGUUGUUCGGAUUCAUUGGGCGUAAAGGGUGCGUAGGUGGCGUGGUAAGUCGGGUGUGAAAUCCCGGGGCUCAACCCCGGGACUGCAUUCGAUACUGCCAUGCUUGAGGACUGGAGAGGAGACUGGAAUUUACGGUGUAGCAGUGAAAUGCGUAGAGAUCGUAAGGAAGACCAGUGGCGAAGGCGGGUCUCUGGACAGUUCCUGACACUGAGGCACGAAGGCCAGGGGAGCAAACGGG
rnacentral:rRNA from 1 species